UACGGAGGAUGCAAGCGUUACUCGGAAUUACUGGGCGUAAAGCGUGCGUAGGUGGUGAGUUAAGUCUGUCGUGAAAGCCCCGGGCUCAACCUGGGAAUGGCGAUGGAUACUGGCUCGCUAGAGUGCGGUAGAGGAGAGUGGAAUUCCCGGUGUAGCAGUGAAAUGCGUAGAGAUCGGGAGGAACAUCAGUUGCGAAGGCGGCUCUCUGGACCAGCACUGACACUGAGGCACGAAAGCGUGGGGAGCAAACAGG
rnacentral:rRNA from 1 species